UCACAAUGAAUACUUGGAAUAUGACUAUAAGUUCCUGCAAGGUUUAAGCAAGUUGGUAAUAAGGAAAUUCAAUCUCCAGGCCAAUGUGUGCACAAGGCUAGGCUCCAUUGCUGGGUUUUUGUGAGCUUACUUGCUGGUGGGCAGGAAUGAGCACCUUGACCUAGACACCGUUAUAAUCUCCAGCAAUGCUCCCCAACUCACUCUGAGAAAUUGAAAUGGUGCCCAGCCCCUGUCAGCCAGCAUUGUUCAGAGCAUUUAGCCAGAAAACAUAAUGUAAAGGUGGCCACAAGCACCAGUGGCAGGUCCCAUGGGGAAGCUGGAGCCUAGCCUUGACAACUGUCCAAAGAUUCCAGGUGCUGGCUGAGUAGGGACAGUAACUCCAUGAGCAGGAUUGCUCCCUAAGUGGUGAAAUACAGUAUAUUAAGCUUUCAGUAUUUACCAUGGUUAUCUGCUGAACAUUCAGUUCAGCGGUUAAACUAGAGGUUCUCCAAACCAUGGAUGGUUAUUUGAAACCAUCACUUGAAGAAUGCCCAACCUUGGUUUGAAGGCACUUCUAGUUAGCAUUAACCAUAGUUUACCCAGUCCAGAUGUCCUGGAUAAACCACAAUGCAAGAUGCCUUUGACAUAUUAUCACUCCUCCGAACCAUAGUUUAAACAAUUGCUGACAUGGAAUCUGAAGAGAUUCAGAGUAUGCUGCAAUUAAUUAGGGCAUAUGAAAAUACACUGUGAUCAGUUUGCACGGAUUAAUUAGAUUUUAAUAUUCUUGUUUAAUGUAUGUUAUUCAUUUGGACUGCUGUGGUGUUUAAAAUAAAAUAAUUAGAUUGGUUAAAACAGAUCUUAUUCUUUACAAGUUUAAUAUGGUUGGAUUGAUAUAUUAUCAGUUUGUCUAGAAAUAGUAAAUUAAUUGCAUUUGGAGAAUUAAUGUGCAUUUAAAUGGUAAAGUCAGCUGUUGUCUGUUGUCAUAAACUGUUCAACCUUUAUAAUAAGAAAUGCUUAUGUGGGCAUUGUAUAUAUAUUUUUCUUCUCUUAGAAAGCAGCUUAAUAAAAUCACUUCCAUUCCUACUUUA